GUCGUUUGACAGUUUGACAUAUGUCAUUUGAUAAUUUGACAAUUAAAAAAAGAAAUAUUAAAUACAGUUAAAUAUAUUUAAUAAAUAUAGAAAGAAAGAGGAAAAGGAAAGACGAAUAAAAGAAAGCUAAAGAAGAGAGGAAGAAUAAGAAAAAGAAAAUUACAGAGAGAGGGAGAGAAAGAGAAAAAAGAAAAAAGAAAAACGUGUUAUUUAAAAUUAAAAGAGAGGUAAUAUAAGCAAAAGAGAGGGAGAAAGAGAGAGAGAGAAAGAGAGGAGGAAAAUAAAAGAAGAAGGCAUAGAAUAUCAGUUAAAAAAGGGACAAAGAAUAGAAAAGAGAAAGAGAUAUAGAAAGGGAGAAGAAAAGAGAGAGAAGAUAGAAAAAGAAGGAAUAAUUUUAUUUAAAAUUAAAGAAGCUACUGAAACAUAUCAAGGUUUAAAAGAUUAUAUACAAACUAUGGCGAAUAACUUAUAAAUGGACUUGGUAUUGGAAAAAUGAUUGUACUUCCUUCUACGAUUACUGGAUCGCCGCGUAACAUGUUACAAAAUUAUCAAGACGCAAUGGCAAUUGUUAGUA